AGCUCCAAUAGCGUAUAUUAAAGUUGUUGCAGUUAAAAAGCUCGUAGUUGGAUUUCGGAAUGGGCCAGUUGGUCCGCCGCAAGGUGUGUUACUGACUGGUUUGUUCUUCUUCGCAAAGACUGCGUGUGCUCUUUAGUGAGUGUGCGUAGGAUUUACGACGUUUACUUUGAAAAAAUUAGAGUGUUCAAAGCAGGCUAUCGCUUGAAUACAUGAGCAUGGAAUAAUGGAAUAGGACUUUGGUCCUAUUUUGUUGGUUUCUAGGACCGAAGUAAUGAUUAAGAGGGACAAUUGGGGGCAUCCGUAUUUCGUUGUCAGAGGUGAAAUUCUUGGAUUUACGAAAGACGAACAACUGCGAAAGCACUUGCCAAGAGUGUUUUCAUUAAUCAAGAACGAAAGUACG
rnacentral:rRNA from 1 species